rnacentral:rRNA from 1 species
GAUUGAACGCUGGCGGCAGGCCUAACCCAUGCAAGUCGAGCGGAUGACGGGAGCUUGCUCCUGGAUUCAGCGGCGGACGGGUGAGUAAUGCCUAGGAAUCUGCCUGGUAGUGGGGGAUAACGUCCGGAAACGGGCGCUAAUACCGCAUACGUCCUGAGGGAGAAAGUGGGGGAUCUUCGGACCUCACGCUAUCAGAUGAGCCUAGGUCGGAUUAGCUAGUUGGUGGGGUAAAGGCCUACCAAGGCGACGAUCCGUAACUGGUCUGAGAGGAUGAUCAGUCACACUGGAACUGAGACACGGUCCAGACUCCUACGGGAGGCAGCAGUGGGGAAUAUUGGACAAUGGGCGAAAGCCUGAUCCAGCCAUGCCGCGUGUGUGAAGAAGGUCUUCGGAUUGUAAAGCACUUUAAGUUGGGAGGAAGGGCAGUAAGUUAAUACCUUGCUGUUUUGACGUUACCAACAGAAUAAGCACCGGCUAACUUCGUG